rnacentral:lncRNA from 1 species
UCUUGUGUUCUUCUCUCAAGUACUAAUGGAGUACCCUAUACUGCAUCAACCACUCUUUCUUCACCUUUAGUGGUUGUAAUUGAGGUACCUGGUUCCAUUGAAGAAGAGGUAGAAUUGUCUUCACUCGGCUCUCUCACUUGGCCCAUCAUAUCUGCCUUUCCAUUUGUCAUGUCAAUGACUUCACCAUGAACCAUUAAGGGCUCUCCAUCUUGAUCAUCUUUAGCACUUUUCUCACAAGAAGGAUAGGACUCAUCAAAGAUA